UGGGGAAUAUUGCACAAUGGGCGCAAGCCUGAUGCAGCCAUGCCGCGUGUGUGAAGAAGGCCUUCGGGUUGUAAAGCACUUUCAGCGGGGAGGAAGGCGUUAAGGUUAAUAACCUUGGCGAUUGACGUUACCCGCAGAAGAAGCACCGGCUAACUCCGUGCCAGCAGCCGCGGUAAUACGGAGGGUGCAAGCGUUAAUCGGAAUUACUGGGCGUAAAGCGCACGCAGGCGGUCUGUCAAGUCGGAUGUGAAAUCCCCGGGCUCAACCUGGGAACUGCAUUCGAAACUGGCAGGCUAGAGUCUUGUAGAGGGGGGUAGAAUUCCAGGUGUAGCGAUGAAAUGCGUAGAGAUCUGGAGGAAUACCGGUGGCGAAGGCGGCCCCCUGGACAAAGACUGACGAUCAGGUGCGAAAGCGUGGGGAGCAAACAGG
rnacentral:rRNA from 1 species